GACGAACGCUGGCGGCGUGCUUAACACAUGCAAGUCGAACGGAAAGGCCCUGCUUUUGUGGGGUGCUCGAGUGGCGAACGGGUGAGUAACACGUGAGUAACCUGCCCUUGACUUUGGGAUAACUUCAGGAAACUGGGGCUAAUACCGGAUAGGAGCUCCUGCUGCAUGGUGGGGGUUGGAAAGUUUCGGCGGUUGGGGAUGGACUCGCGGCUUAUCAGCUUGUUGGUGAGGUAGUGGCUUACCAAGGCUUUGACGGGUAGCCGGCCUGAGAGGGUGACCGGCCACAUUGGGACUGAGAGACGGCGCAGACUCCUACGGGAGGCAGCAGUGGGGAAUAUUGCACAAUGGGCGGAAGCCUGAUGCAGCAACGCCGCGUGCGGGAUGACGGCCUUCGGGUUGUAAACCGCUUUCGCCUGUGACGAAGCGUGAGUGACGGUAAUGGGUAAAGAAGCACCGGCUAACUACGUG
rnacentral:rRNA from 1 species